rnacentral:rRNA from 1 species
AAAUUGAAGAGUUUGAUCAUGGCUCAGAUUGAACGCUGGCGGCAGGCCUAACACAUGCAAGUCGAACGGUAACAGGAAGCAGCUUGCUGCUUCGCUGACGAGUGGCGGACGGGUGAGUAAUGUCUGGGAAACUGCCUGAUGGAGGGGGAUAACUACUGGAAACGGUGGCUAAUACCGCAUAACGUCGCAAGACCAAAGAGGGGGACCUUCGGGCCUCUUGCCAUCAGAUGUGCCCAGAUGGGAUUAGCUAGUUGGUGAGGUAACGGCUCACCAAGGCGACGAUCCCUAGCUGGUCUGAGAGGAUGACCAGCCACACUGGAACUGAGACACGGUCCAGACUCCUACGGGAGGCAGCAGUGGGGAAUAUUGCACAAUGGGCGCAAGCCUGAUGCAGCCAUGCCGCGUGUAUGAAGAAGGCCUUCGGGUUGUAAAGUACUUUCAGCGGGGAGGAAGGUGUUGUGGUUAAUAACCGCAGCAAUUGACGUUACCCGCAGAAGAAGCACCGGCUAACUCCGUGCCAGCAGCCGCGGUAAUACGGAGGGUGCAAGCGUUAAUCGGAAUUACUGGGCGUAAAGCGCACGCAGGCGGUCUGUCAAGU